rnacentral:rRNA from 1 species
GAUGAACGCUGGCGGCGUGCCUAAUACAUGCAAGUCGAGCGAACGGACGAGAAGCUUGCUUCUCUGAUGUUAGCGGCGGACGGGUGAGUAACACGUGGAUAACCUACCUAUAAGACUGGGAUAACUUCGGGAAACCGGAGCUAAUACCGGAUGAUAUUUUGAACCGCAUGGUUCAAAAGUGAAAGACGGUCUUGCUGUCACUUAUAGAUGGAUCCGCGCUGCAUUAGCUAGUUGGUAAGGUAACGGCUUACCAAGGCAACGAUGCAUAGCCGACCUGAGAGGGUGAUCGGCCACACUGGAACUGAGACACGGUACAGACUCCUAGGGGAGGCAGCAGUAGGGAAUCUGCCGGAAUGGGCGAAAGCCUGACGGAGCAACGCCGCGUGAGUGAUGAAGGUCUUCGGAUCGUAAAACUAUGUUAUUAGGGAAGAACAUAUGUGUAAGUAACUGUGCACAUCUUGACGGUACCUAAUCAGAAAGCCACGGCUAACUACGUG